rnacentral:lncRNA from 1 species
AACCCAAAUAUUUUCCAUCAACAAGACACAUAAUUCUGCCAAGCCCAUGAAUUUUGAUUAAAUUGUUUCAUUCAAUUACAACAAUCAUUAGAGGUACAUCACUAAAGCCACAUUGCCAUCAUUACAACGAAAAAUAGUCCAACUCAUACAUUAUACACAUAAUAGUCACUGCCAAAUUACAAAUGAUCGCUUCAAAUGCAGCACCAUGGGUUGCAUGAGAUUUGUCCUUGAGAUGGAGGAGGUAGAAGUGGAUGAUGCCAUUCUCGCUCUGGUAAAAGGCAGGAAAUAAUCCUGAGCAUUUGUUAAAAUAGUACACUAAUGAGUUUCUAGCUGGUCUAUAAUAAGGAAAUAGGAAAUGAUCAUUAUAUGCACAGUACAAUACAUAUUAUGGAGGAAAGGAAACAAUUAUGACUCAAGAAUGUGCAUCACACUUCUCACUGAAACAAUUGUGGGAAGGCCUAUUUUUGUAUUUUUGAAAUAAGUAAAAAGAGUUUAAAAUUGUCAAAAGGCCUAUUUUAUAUUCAAAGAUAUACAAUUGUAAUGCAGUAUCUAUUUUCUAUUUGAUGUUAUGUACAUAAAUGCAAGAUCACACUGCAGAACAAAAAUAGUUCUUUUUUUUUCAAAUUCACAAACCUCACAGAAGGCACAUUCACAAAUAUGACUACACUUAAUCUCAACUAAAUCAAUUCAUUAGUAUUUACCAAUCCUCACAAACAUUCACAAUUUCCAGCAUUUAGAGGCAAUGUAAGUGACGUAGAUCACUACGAACAGAGAGGCAAUACAGAUAAACUCAAUAUAAACUAUUUGAAACUACCACAGAGAACUAGCAGUAUAAACACUUUACUGUGGCAAAACACAACUCAAGUCUAGCAUGGUAAUUUCGGUUCUUAUCCAGUUCUACAAGUCUAGUUAAGUCAUAUCUACAAGCCAUGGAGAAGUAAAAAAAACAAUAACCUGCAAGUUACCACAGUACCAUGCCGAAAUUUUAAGUACGUAAUAUCCUAGGCAAAUUGUGCAGUAGCAUGAGUAUUGAGUAUAAAACCACUGAAACCUAAAUAGCUACAGUUUUAAACAUUAGUAUACCAUGAACAAGAGGAAGCAACCAUAGUACAGAAUGUGAUCGGAGAGCAGCCUAUGAGCUAACUCAAGUUAACAUAUGCUUCCUAUUACAUUCUACCUAGAACAAGAUAAACCAGAGCGAGAAGAGGGGGGAGGAUGGAAGACCAAGGACUUACCGGAGCCAGAGACGAAGUAGAAGUGGACAUCUGUCGUCGUGCCUGCGGUCACCACAUGCAGUGUCGGUGUUGUCCUCCUUGAGGAGAUGUGCGCCAUGGAUGGGGAAGACAAGUGUGAGGUCGAUGCCGACGAUGAGUGCGCUGACCGUGGGGCGGCCGACGGCCGCCUAGACCCAGCCAGGGCCGGCCCUAACAUUUCGAAGGCCCUAGUGCAAGUUAGGUUUAGUGGGCCUGACGGACACGCGGGUCUUCACAAGCACCGCUGCACGCUGCCAGCACAAGUUCAACAAAGUGUAGAUAUGACUUGUUUUUCAUGAUAAUAUGAUAAUGUCAAAAAUAACAAUCCUCACCAUAUUUUACGAUGUACCUACAGAUAGCAGUUUUGGACAAAAGCACAGACGCCUUCUAUGCAAGUAGCUACAGAGAAAUCCAACAACAUAAUAACAAAGCAGUAUCUAAUCAUCAUGUGCUUAUUUGAUGAUACUUAAUCACCACUAAUAUGAGGCACCCACUUGUGCAACAAUUUCAUGCAAAGUAAUCUUUCACAAAAUUCGCAAUCAACAAGGAAAGAUGGGCAAUCCAGACGAGAAACAACUAACCUGUGGACGUGGGCUGCUGUCAACGCCUCACCGCCCAAUCGCUGAAUGUGCCACUUCAUCAGUCUCCUUAGGAUACUUUUAAGAUGGAAGAACAAAAGGUCCUGCUUGGAUAAUGAAGAGGUUAAGGUAGUAGUGAUACAUAUAAAUUUUUAUUCAAUUAGCAUCGGUUUGGGCGCCCAGCCUCUUGGGAAAUUGGUUCAAUUAAUUAGCAAAGAAAGGAGACGAGAAGACUGGGUGAUGAACAAGAGACAUGUAUCUCGGAAAUACCUUUUUUAAAUAGAG